GAGCAAUGAUGGAAAGAUUUUACUACUGACAUUUACAACUAUGAAUGUUUCUACACUUGAUCUGAGCUCA
rnacentral:snoRNA from 10 species